UACGUAGGGGUGCGAGCGUUUAAUCGGAAUUACUGGGCGUAAAGCGUGCGCAGGCGGUUUUUGCAAGACAGAUGUGAAAUCCCCGGGCUUAACCUGGGAACUGCAUUUGUGACUGCAAGGCUAGAGUGUGUCAGAGGGAGGUGGAAUUCCGCGUGUAGCAGUGAAAUGCGUAGAGAUGCGGAGGAACACCGAUGGCGAAGGCAGCCUCCUGGGAUAACACUGACGCUCAUGCACGAAAGCGUGGGGAGCAAACAGG
rnacentral:rRNA from 1 species